CGGGCGUUAAGUUGCAGGGUAUAGACCCGAAACCCGGUGAUCUAGCCAUGGGCAGGUUGAAGGUUGGGUAACACUAACUGGAGGACCGAACCGACUAAUGUUGAAAAAUUAGCGGAUGACCUGUGGCUGGGGGUGAAAGGCCAAUCAAACCGGGAGAUAGCUGGUUCUCCCCGAAAGCUAUUUAGGUAGCGCCUCGUGAAUUCAUCUCCGGGGGUAGAGCACUGUUUCGGCUAGGGGGCCAUCCCGGCUUACCAACCCGAUGCAAACUGCGAAUACCGGAGAAUGUUAUCACGGGAGACACACGGCGGGUGCUAACGUCCGUCGUGAAGAGGGAAACAACCCAGACCGCCAGCUAAGGUCCCAAAGUCAUGAUUAAGUGGGAAACGAUGUGGGAAGGCCCAGACAGCCAGGAUGUUGGCUUAGAAGCAGCCAUCAUUUAAAGAAAGCGUAAUAGCUCACUGGUCGAGUCGGCCUGCGCGGAAGAUGUAACGGGGCUAAACCAUGCACCGAAGCUGCGGCAGCGACGCUGAUGCGUUGUUGGGUAGGGGAGCGUUCUGUAAGCCUGUGAAGGUGGCCUGUGAGGGUUGCUGGAGGUAUCAGAAGUGCGAAUGCUGACAUAAGUAACGAUAAAGCGGGUGAAAAGCCCGCUCGCCGGAAGACCAAGGGUUCCUGUCCAACGUUAAUCGGGGCAGGGUGAGUCGACCCCUAAGGCGAGGCCGAAAGGCGUAGUCGAUGGGAAACGGGUUAAUAUUCCCGUACUUGGUGUUACUGCGAAGGGGGGACGGAGAAGGCUAUGUUGGCCGGGCGACGGUUGUCCCGGUUUAAGCGUGUAGGUGUGUGUUCCAGGUAAAUCCGGUUCACUUUAACACUGAGGCGUGAUGACGAGGCACUACGGUGCUGAAGCAACAAAUGCCCUGCUUCCAGGAAAAGCCUCUAAGCAUCAGGUAACAUCAAAUCGUACCCCAAACCGACACAGGUGGUCAGGUAGAGAAUACCAAGGCGCUUGAGAGAACUCGGGUGAAGGAACUAGGCAAAAUGGUGCCGUAACUUCGGGAGAAGGCACGCUGACACGUAGGUGAAGUGAUUUACUCACGGAGCUGAAGUCAGUCGAAGAUACCAGCUGGCUGCAACUGUUUAUUAAAAACACAGCACUGUGCAAACACGAAAGUGGACGUAUACGGUGUGACGCCUGCCCGGUGCCGGAAGGUUAAUUGAUGGGGUCAGCGCAAGCGAAGCUCCUGAUCGAAGCCCCGGUAAACGGCGGCCGUAACUAUAACGGUCCUAAGGUAGCGAAAUUCCUUGUCGGGUAAGUUCCGACCUGCACGAAUGGCGUAAUGAUGGCCAGGCUGUCUCCACCCGAGACUCAGUGAAAUUGAACUCGCUGUGAAGAUGCAGUGUACCCGCGGCAAGACGGAAAGACCCCGUGAACCUUUACUAUAGCUUGACACUGAACAUUGAGCCUUGAUGUGUAGGAUAGGUGGGAGGCUUUGAAGUGUGGACGCCAGUCUGCAUGGAGCCGACCUUGAAAUACCACCCUUUAAUGUUUGAUGUUCUAACGUGGACCCGUGAUCCGGGUUGCGGACAGUGUCUGGUGGGUAGUUUGACUGGGGCGGUCUCCUCCUAAAGAGUAACGGAGGAGCACGAAGGUUGGCUAAUCCUGGUCGGACAUCAGGAGGUUAGUGCAAUGGCAUAAGCCAGCUUGACUGCGAGCGUGACGGCGCGAGCAGGUGCGAAAGCAGGUCAUAGUGAUCCGGUGGUUCUGAAUGGAAGGGCCAUCGCUCAACGGAUAAAAGGUACUCCGGGGAUAACAGGCUGAUACCGCCCAAGAGUUCAUAUCGACGGCGGUGUUUGGCACCUCGAUGUCGGCUCAUCACAUCCUGGGGCUGAAGUAGGUCCCAAGGGUAUGGCUGUUCGCCAUUUAAAGUGGUACGCGAGCUGGGUUUAGAACGUCGUGAGACAGUUCGGUCCCUAUCUGCCGUGGGCGCUGGAGAACUGAGGGGGGCUGCUCCUAGUACGAGAGGACCGGAGUGGACGCAUCACUGGUGUUCGGGUUGUCAUGCCAAUGGCACUGCCCGGUAGCUAAAUGCGGAAGAGAUAAGUGCUGAAAGCAUCUAAGCACGAAACUUGCCCCGAGAUGAGUUCUCCCUGAGACUUAGAGUCUCCUGAAGGAACGUUGAAGACGACGACGUUGAUAGGCCGGGUGUGUAAGCGCAGCGAUGCGUUGAGCUAACCGGUACUAAUGAACCGUGAGGCUUAACCUUACA
rnacentral:rRNA from 1 species